GGCCUUGUGGUCUAGUGUAUGAUUCUCGCUUAGGGUGCGAGAGGUCCCAGAUUCGAUCUCCGGCAAGGCCC
rnacentral:tRNA from 1 species